rnacentral:hammerhead_ribozyme from 1 species
AUCCAUCUGACGAGUCCCAAAUAGGAAGAAACAUGCGUCCUGGAU